CGCAGCCGCGGUAAUUCCAGCUCCAAUAGCGUAUAUUAAAGUUGUUGCAGUUAAAAAGCUCGUAGUUGAAUUUCGGGAUCAAGGAAUCGGUCAUGCCUUGGUAUGUACUGGUUUUAUUGGUUCUCACCUUCUAAAGAACCAUAAUGUCAUUUAUUUGAUGUUAUGGGGAAUUAGGACUGUUACCUUGAAAAAAUUAGAGUAGUUUAAAAGCAAGCUUACGCUUGAAUACAUUAGCAUGGAAUAAUGAAAUAGGACAUCAGAUUCUAUUUUGUUGGUUUCUAGGAUUCGAUGUAAUGAUUAAUAGGGAUAGUUGGGGGCAUUAGUAUUCAAUUGUCAGAGGUGAAAUUCUUGGAUUUAUUGAAGACUAACUACUGCGAAAGCAUUUGCCAAGGAUGUUUUCAUUAAUCAAGAACGAAAGUUAGGGGAUCGAAGACGAUCAGAUACCGUCGUAGUCUUAACCAUAAACUAUGCCGACUAGGGAUCGGAUGAUGUUAAUUUUUAAUGACUCAUUCGGCNCCUU
rnacentral:rRNA from 1 species